rnacentral:rRNA from 1 species
UACGUAGGGAGCGAGCGUUGUCCGAAGUUACUGGGCGUAAAGCGCGCGUAGGCGGGCUGUUAAGUGAGAGGUGAAAGGCUGGGGCUCAACCCCAUGCAGUGCCUCUCAUACUGGCGGUCUUGAAUUCGGCAGGGAGAAGUGGAAUGGCUGGUGUAGCGGUGAAAUGCGUAGAUAUCAGUCGGAACACCGGUGGCGAAGGCGGCGUUCUGGACUGCAACUGACACUGAAAAACGAAAGCCAGGGGAGCAAACGGG